rnacentral:lncRNA from 1 species
AAUUAAGUUUAAAAUAAUGAAUUACUUAUUAUAUUUGUUCCUUGACUGUUCCUUCAGAUUCAAAAGUAAUAUUUAAUGACAAUGUCAGUUUAUUACACUCUCACAGAUAAAAAACUUGUGAAUGUAUACAAAAUUUAAGACAAUUACCAACAAUGCAUUAUUUUUAUUUGUUGUUUUAUUUUUACAAACAGUAUUUUUUUUUAUUUUAUUCCAUGAGCUUUUGCCAAACAAAAUGAUGUUAUGCCAAAGCGAAAUAAAUAAUUUAUUUUCUUAGGAUCUGGGGAUAUGGAAAACUAGAUACAGUAGAAUCCGGAUAUAACGACCUUCAAGGGACCGACGAUACUAUGUCGUACUAACAGGACGACGCACAAAACGGACGGAUUAUUUCUCAUCAUCUUAUAUGAUUUUUCUUAAGUACAUAACUUAACUUGUACAUACAUAACUUACGAAUACAUACUAUUAUCUUCUUCUUCUUAUAUAUAAAAAUGAAUUGAUGUUCGUUAGUCUCACUAAAACUCUAGAAUGGCUGGACCGAUUUGGCUUAUUUUGGUUUUAAAAUGUUCGUAGAGGUCCAGGGAAGGUUUAAACGAUACGAAGUUUGUUGGGUCAGCUAGUCUUCUUAUAUAUAAAAAUGAAUUGGUGUUCGUUAGUCUGACUAAAACUCUGGAAUGGCUGGACCGAUUUGGCUUAUUUUGGUUUUAGAAUGUUUGUAGAGGUCCAGGGAAGGUUUAAACGAUACGAAGUUUGUUGGGUCAGCUAGUCUUCUUAUAUAUAAAAAUGAAUUGGUGUUCGUUAGUCUGACUAAAACUCUGGAAUGGCUGGACCGAUUUGGCUUAUUUUGGUUUUAGAAUGUUUGUAGAGGUCCAGGGAAGGUUUAAACGAUACGAACGCGGGGCGGGGGUGCGUAGGUAAACAAAACAUUGCGCGUGUGUCGUUUUAACCGGACGUAUUAUAAUAAAUAUUGGUCGCUAUAAGCAGUUGGUCGCUUAAACCGGAGUCGCACUAAACGGUUAUAUUGUCUUAGUAUCUAUAUACGAAACCUAACUUGAGUAAAGAUUAUCGUCGCUAAAACCGAUUAGUUGUUAUAAGCGAAGUCGUUAUAUAUGAAUUCUACUGUA